rnacentral:SRP_RNA from 1 species
CGGUGGGUCUUAGGCGGGGGGCUAGGGGUCCCCUGUACCGUAAACCCCCUAUAUGACGGGCCGAAAGCUGGGGCUGAGGCGCCCAUGGCCUCCCUGAACCCAUUUCCGAGGCAAUGACUUCCCGUCCCCUGGGGCUAACGGUCGCCGUGCAGCCUCCGUAGGGAGGCUUGUUACGGCGUUUACCAGGCGAACCUGGCCAGGCCCGGGAGGGAGCAACCUAAGCCUGGACGUUUAGCGCUCAGGGGGGUGCGGGUACGAGCGUAGGUUUGGGGUCUCCGGGAGGAUUCUGGGCGUCGAACCCCAGUGACCCACCG